CGCUAGCUACAGGCUUAACACAUGCAAGUCGAGGGGCAGCAUUUCAGUUUGCUUGCAAACUGGAGAUGGCGACCGGCGCACGGGUGAGUAACACGUAUCCAACCUGCCGAUAACUCGGGGAUAGCCUUUCGAAAGAAAGAUUAAUACCCGAUGGUAUAAUCAGACCGCAUGGUCUUAUUAUUAAAGAAUUUCGGUUAUCGAUGGGGAUGCGUUCCAUUAGGCAGUUGGUGAGGUAACGGCUCACCAAACCUUCGAUGGAUAGGGGUUCUGAGAGGAAGGUCCCCCACAUUGGAACUGAGACACGGUCCAAACUCCUACGGGAGGCAGCAGUGAGGAAUAUUGGUCAAUGGGCGCAGGCCUGAACCAGCCAAGUAGCGUGAAGGAUGACUGCCCUAUGGGUUGUAAACUUCUUUUAUAUGGGAAUAAAGUUUUCCACGUGUGGAAUUUUGUAUGUACCAUAUGAAUAAGGAUCGGCUAACUCCGUGCCAGCAGCCGCGGUAAUACGGAGGAUCCGAGCGUUAUCCGGAUUUAUUGGGUUUAAAGGGAGCGUAGGUGGACAGUUAAGUCAGUUGUGAAAGUUUGCGGCUCAACCGUAAAAUUGCAGUUGAUACUGGCUGUCUUGAGUACAGUAGAGGUGGGCGGAAUUCGUGGUGUAGCGGUGAAAUGCUUAGAUAUCACGAAGAACUCCGAUUGCGAAGGCAGCUCACUGGACUGCAACUGACACUGAUGCUCGAAAGUGUGGGUAUCAAACAGGAUUAGAUACCCUGGUAGUCCACACAGUAAACGAUGAAUACUCGCUGUUUGCGAUAUACAGUAAGCGGCCAAGCGAAAGCAUUAAGUAUUCCACCUGGGGAGUACGCCGGCAACGGUGAAACUCAAAGGAAUUGACGGGGGCCCGCACAAGCGGAGGAACAUGUGGUUUAAUUCGAUGAUACGCGAGGAACCUUACCCGGGCUUAAAUUGCAUUUGAAUAUAUUGGAAACAGUAUAGCCGUAAGGCAAAUGUGAAGGUGCUGCAUGGUUGUCGUCAGCUCGUGCCGUGAGGUGUCGGCUUAAGUGCCAUAACGAGCGCAACCCUUAUCUUUAGUUACUAACAGGUCAUGCUGAGGACUCUAGAGAGACUGCCGUCGUAAGAUGUGAGGAAGGUGGGGAUGACGUCAAAUCAGCACGGCCCUUACGUCCGGGGCUACACACGUGUUACAAUGGGGGGUACAGAAGGCAGCUACCUGGUGACAGGAUGCUAAUCCCAAAAGCCUCUCUCAGUUCGGAUCGAAGUCUGCAACCCGACUUCGUGAAGCUGGAUUCGCUAGUAAUCGCGCAUCAGCCAUGGCGCGGUGAAUACGUUCCCGGGCCUUGUACACACCGCCCGUCAAGCCAUGAAAGCCGGGGGUACCUGAAGUACGUAACCGCAAGGAGCGUCCUAGGGUAAAACUGGUAAUUG
rnacentral:rRNA from 1 species